rnacentral:rRNA from 1 species
AUUGAACGCUGGCGGCAUGCCUUACACAUGCAAGUCGAACGGUAACGGGCCUUCGGGUGGCGACGAGUGGCGAACGGGGGAGUAAUACAGCGGAACGCGCCCGAAUCUGGGGGUUCACGAGGCGUAAGGUUUGCUAACAUACCCUACUACCUCAGGCGGCCUGCAGGGGAAAGCAAGGGCUUUUGGGGCCGGGCCCGCCGAUGGCAGAUUAGGUAGUUGGAGGGAUAAAGGCUUACCAAGCCGACGAUCUGUAGCUGGUCUGAGAGGAUGAUCAGCCACACUGGAACUGAGACACGGCCCAGACUCCUACGGGAGGCAGCAGUGGGGAAUAUUGGACAAUGGGCGCAAGCCUGAUCCAGCCAUGCCGCGUGCAUGAUGAAGGCCUUCGGGUUGUAAACUGCUUUUGUUCGGAACGAAAAGCCUUCUUUUAAUACAGGAGGGUCAUGACGGUACCGAAAGAAUAAGCACCGGCUAACUACGUG